rnacentral:rRNA from 1 species
CCUACGGGGUGCAGCAGUGGGGAAUAUUGGGCAAUGGACGCAAGUCUGACCCAGCAACGCCGCGUGAAGGAAGAAGGCUCUCGGGUUUUAAACUUCUUUUAAGGGGGAAGAGCAGAAGACGGUACCCCUUGAAUAAGCCACGGCUAACUACGUGCCAUCAGCCGCGGUAAUACGUAGGUGGCAAGUGUUGCACGGAUUUACUGGGUGUAAAGGGCGUGCUGCCGGAGAUGCAAGUCAGAUGUGAAAUCCACGGGCUCAACCCGUGAACUGCAUUUGAAACUGUUUCCCUUGAGUGGCGGAGAGGUAAUCGGAAUUCGUUGGGUAGCGGUGAAAUGCGUAGAUAUAAGGAAGAACACCAGUGGCGAAGGCAGAUUACUGGACGAUAACUGACGGUGAGGCGCGAAAGCGUGGGGAGCAAACAGGAUUAGAUACCCCAGUAGUC